rnacentral:rRNA from 1 species
AAAUUGAAGAGUUUGAUCAUGGCUCAGAUUGAACGCUGGCGGCAGGCCUAACACAUGCAAGUCGAGCGGUAGCACAGAGAGCUUGCUCUCGGGUGACGAGCGGCGGACGGGUGAGUAAUGUCUGGGAAACUGCCUGAUGGAGGGGGAUAACUACUGGAAACGGUAGCUAAUACCGCAUAACGUCGCAAGACCAAAGUGGGGGACCUUCGGGCCUCAUGCCAUCAGAUGUGCCCAGAUGGGAUUAGCUAGUAGGUGGGGUAAUGGCUCACCUAGGCGACGAUCCCUAGCUGGUCUGAGAGGAUGACCAGCCACACUGGAACUGAGACACGGUCCAGACUCCUACGGGAGGCAGCAGUGGGGAAUAUUGCACAAUGGGCGCAAGCCUGAUGCAGCCAUGCCGCGUGUAUGAAGAAGGCCUUCGGGUUGUAAAGUACUUUCAGCGAGGAGGAAGGCGUUAAGGUUAAUAACCUUAGCGAUUGACGUUACUCGCAGAAGAAGCACCGGCUAACUCCGUGCCAGCAGCCGCGGUAAUACGGAGGGUGCAAGCGUUAAUCGGAAUUACUGGGCGUAAAGCGCACGCAGGCGGUCUGUCAAGUCGGAUGUGAAAUCCCCGGGCUCAACCUGGGAACUGCAUUCGAAACUGGCAGGCUAGAGUCUUGUAGAGGGGGGUAGAAUUCCAGGUGUAGCGGUGAAAUGCGUAGAGAUCUGGAGGAAUACCGGUGGCGAAGGCGGCCCCCUGGACAAAGACUGACGCUCAGGUGCGAAAGCGUGGGGAGCAAACAGGAUUAGAUACCCUGGUAGUCCACGCCGUAAACGAUGUCGACUUGGAGGUUGUGCCCUUGAGGCGUGGCUUCCGGAGCUAACGCGUUAAGUCGACCGCCUGGGGAGUACGGCCGCAAGGUUAAAACUCAAAUGAAUUGACGGGGGCCCGCACAAGCGGUGGAGCAUGUGGUUUAAUUCGAUGCAACGCGAAGAACCUUACCUGGUCUUGACAUCCACAGAACUUUCCAGAGAUGGAUUGGUGCCUUCGGGAACUGUGAGACAGGUGCUGCAUGGCUGUCGUCAGCUCGUGUUGUGAAAUGUUGGGUUAAGUCCCGCAACGAGCGCAACCCUUAUCCUUUGUUGCCAGCGGUCCGGCCGGGAACUCAAAGGAGACUGCCAGUGAUAAACUGGAGGAAGGUGGGGAUGACGUCAAGUCAUCAUGGCCCUUACGACCAGGGCUACACACGUGCUACAAUGGCAUAUACAAAGAGAAGCGACCUCGCGAGAGCAAGCGGACCUCAUAAAGUAUGUCGUAGUCCGGAUUGGAGUCUGCAACUCGACUCCAUGAAGUCGGAAUCGCUAGUAAUCGUAGAUCAGAAUGCUACGGUGAAUACGUUCCCGGGCCUUGUACACACCGCCCGUCACACCAUGGGAGUGGGUUGCAAAAGAAGUAGGUAGCUUAACCUUCGGGAGGGCGCUUACCACUUUGUGAUUCAUGACUGGGGUGAAGUCGUAACAAGGUAACCGUAGGGGAACCUGCGGUUGGAUCACCUCCUUA